UACGUAGGGGGCAAGCGUUGUCCGGAAUCAUUGGGCGUAAAGAGCGCGUAGGCGGCCCUGUAAGUCCGCUGUGAAAGUCAAGGGCUCAACCCUUGGAUGCCGGUGGAUACUGCAGGGCUAGAGUCCGGAAGAGGCGAGUGGAAUUCCUGGUGUAGCGGUGAAAUGCGCAGAUAUCGGGAAGAACACCCGUGGCGAAGGCGGUUCUCUGGGACGGUACUGACGCUGAGACGCGAAAGCGUGGGGAGCAAACAGG
rnacentral:rRNA from 1 species